UUUUUGGAAUGGUAACCCUUUCUAUUAAUGUAUAUUAACAGAUACAGCAUAUUAAAGAUAUUAUAUUGACGUUACAACAGAACUAUCAAAACCAAACAGAGUUUUAGGUUAGCUUUUACCACUCGCAAACCAAAAUGCGAUCGCAUCUACCCACUCGUAACUUGACGUUCGUAUACGCUCGAACAUUUGCGUAUACCAACGUGUGCGCGCGGUUCGAGAAUACCGAAUCUUCAAAACCGUUCGGAAGUUGGUCACUUGCGUAUGCGGAACUUAUUCGAACGAGUUCGAGAAUCGACCCCCUGGUCAAAAAAUACAAGAAGUUAUUCAGAAGCCGGGAGAGGAUGCAGACAAUAUCGACGAUAUAAUUAAUAGUUGUUUAGAUGCCGAGGAAGGUGUAGGUGCAACAGUUGCAACAGGAAAUGUUUGAAACUGAGAACAUACUGGGAACAAGACAGUGCAUCAUCGCAUACAACGAUGGACUGGGGCCCUAACAUUAUAAGCCAACUUUACGGACAGCUGAAUAAUUAAAAUUUCGACUCAAAAGAUCAGUUUGAAAAGAGCCAUAAGCCACCCAAAACAAAAAUUUGAUUAAACUAAAUUUUCUGGAAAAUAUACUAUUUCCAUACAAAAAAUUUAGUUCCAGCACUGCAGUAAGUAUUGCAGAGGGACCAUCUCAAGAUGAAACUGAAACGCCCUAAAAGAUGGCACUUUAGAGCAGGACUUCGUGACAUGGACCAGUCAAUAGAGUUUGAAAGAAUUGUUCGUAUCAGAAUAGAGAAUUUAUUUCAGAUUUCUGAAUAUCCACAAUUUGAAUGACGAGAUACGGUUUACACAUAAGAUGUUAGAAUAAAAGGGAUUAGUGAUGAAUAUGAUGGUUCACUCAAAUUUAUGCCAAAUUAAAUUUGACAUUUUGUGUUUAGAAACGGUUGCAACAUUUGUUUCUCCGCAGUGUCAGUUUGAUUGUCUUUCAAAAAUUCUUGUGAAAAUGGCAGAUUUAAAUGAACAGUUUCAUUACAAUUUGAUGCUGGCAAAAGCUUUAGUACAGCUAAUGCCAGCAGCAGACCGACAACAUAUCAGAAUUUGGUUUGAUGUACUGGCAGAGCUAAAUGAAAACGAAGAAGAAAUGAAUAUCAGAAAUGAAUAUAUUUGGUUUAUACUGCUCAUGUUACAAAAUAAUAAAAUUGAAGACUUUUUCAAAGAACUACCUCCCAGGAAAGUGUUACCUCUGAAAAAAGCGAUUCCACAAAAUAUUAUCGACGAUGUCUUAAUAGCUAGUGAUCAAAAUAUGUCUUGGUUGGAUACAGUUACUGAUGAAGAGAAGGAACAGAACUUGGCGAAAAAGAAAGUAGCACCUGAAAAAUUCCUUAGUAGUCAACCUCUUCCCAAGGACGGUGUGAUAUGCUACUUUGGGGCUUUUAGUGAUCAGUCUUAAAACUAUUUUAUUGGACGACUUUAUUUUAGGCAUACUUUCCGCCAAAUUCCCAUGAAAUAUCAUUAGAUGCCAUCUUUCCGCCAAUGACUGAAUUAUCUGCAAGACAUGCGUUAGUUUUCUGUUAAAGUGCGGAAAUUACAAGAACAGCUCUUAUUUAAAAAUGAAACAAAAUUGUAUUUUUCUACAAGACAAUAAAUACUUAUAUCAUUA